rnacentral:rRNA from 1 species
GAUGAACGCUGGCGGCGUGCCUAAUACAUGCAAGUCGAGCGAACGGACGAGAAGCUUGCUUCUCUGAUGUUAGCGGCGGACGGGUGAGUAACACGUGGAUAACCUACCUAUAAGACUGGGAUAACUUCGGGAAACCGUAGCUAAUACCGGAUAAUAUUUUGAACCGCAUGGUUCAAAAGUGAAAGACGGUCUUGCUGUCACUUAUAGAUGGAUCCGCGCUGCAUUAGCUAGUUGGUAAGGUAACGGCUUACCAAGGCAACGAUGCAUAGCCGACCUGAGAGGGCGAUCGGCCACACUGGAACUGAGACACGGUCCAGACUCCUACGGGAGGCAGCAGUAGGGAAUCUUCCGCAAUGGGCGAAAGCCUGACGGAGCAACGUCGCGUGAGUGAUGAAGGUCUUCGGAUCGUAAAACUCUGUUAUUAGGGAAGAACAUAUGUGUAAGUAACUGUGCACAUCUUGACGGUACCUAAUCAGAAAGCCACGGCUAACUACGUG